UACGUAGGGGGCAAGCGUUGUCCGGAAUUAUUGGGCGUAAAGAGCGCGUAGGCGGUCCGAUAAGUCGGCUGUGAAAGUCAAGGGCUCAACCCUUGAAAGCCGGCCGAUACUGUCGGACUAGAGUCCGGAAGAGGCGAGUGGAAUUCCCGGUGUAGCGGUGAAAUGCGCAGAUAUCGGGAGGAACACCAAUGGCGAAGGCGGCUCUCUGGGACGGUACUGACGCUGAGACGCGAAAGCGUGGGGAGCGAACAGG
rnacentral:rRNA from 1 species